CUCUCUAUGUUGAGCUGACUUUGAAGUCUGUCUGUAGGUUGCUGUCUGCAAGUCUGCAGGAAUAUAGCACUGAAUCUGUGAACCCGGCCUCCUGUACAAUGAUGGGCCAUUUCUGUUGUGUCCCACCUUCAACUCUAGGAGGAUUCCUGUCCCCUAGGAACCUGGAUCGGAAAAACACUCAUUUCUGCCAGCAGGUGAAAAAAACGUUAUUGUAUUAUUUUAACAUUGUAUUGUAUUUUCUUUUCAUUGCAUUUGCAUGAAAAACACCCUGGGAUCAUGUUGAUGUGAUGAAGGGUGGCUUAUAAAUUUGUAUGAAUAAAUGAAUAAAAUGCAUCACUGCAAUGCUUAACUCUGAAUGCAAAUUGAUGAGUGAAGAAGGGUAGCCCAAUUCUCAGAGCAUCUUUUUUUGCACACCAAAGGUCCCAGCUUCAAUCCCCAAUUGCAUCUCCAGGGUGAGGAGAGCGGGGAAAGAUACCCUUCCAGAAACAGUAGAGAACCACUGCUAGUCAGUCAAUGUAGACAGUGCUAAGCUAGAGAGGCCAAUGGUCUGACUCAGUGCAAGACAGUUUCCCCAUGAUCCUAUCAUGGUGAUUCCAGAGCUGGGACAACAAAUUGCAGGUUGCAAAAGGAAAAGGACAUACCUGCCAUGGCUCUAGCCUUGAAGGUCCAAGCUGCCUCCUCCACCCACAAUCGACAUCCUCUUUGACCUGGAAGAAUAUGCAGCAUUCAAGGCCUGUGCCACAGUUUGGAUACUAAAGUAAUUCACGUAGCUGUCUUGGGACAGGAUUCUUUCAUUCUCUUCUUGGGGCAACAUCUCCAGAUUCUCCUUCUCCCUGCACUUUGUCAAACUCCUCACAGAUAAGGCAUGUUUUGGAUAUGAACAAUCAAAUGCUUUUCUCGAAUAGCUUAGACUGGCUGAAGACGUUGGCCAAUAGUAGUCCUUUUUCAUCCUUUUUUUUGGUCUUCAUUACAAAGGACAAAGAGCCAUGGGCAUAUUGAAAGCAGGCGUUAUCAAGUAACAACAUUUUGUUCUGAAGACCUGUGGUUAUCCAGACUUUCCUCAGUUUGUAUCCUUUCCAGUAAGGAUUGUACCUCUCAUGAUUAUAAAAAGUCCAUAUUGAGAGUCUGCAGAGUAAACAAAUACAUUGACUUGUCUCCACAUGGCAGGUGGUUCUUGGGGUGCCCACAGCCAAGUUUUAUGUACUACUCUUUUUGUGAAGGCAACACAGAUUUCCUUUUCCAUCAUCAGAGGUGUCAAGGUACUCAGGAACCUUUCUCCAUUGUCAUUGUCUGGAACAAAGAGGCCGACCCAUGUCCACCUGAAAUGCAGGAGGAGUUGCACCACUCCUUGGUAUUGAAUUUCUUCCUUGGGAGCCAUUUGGUAGACAAAAGGGGACUGGACUUUAUCAUGAAGAACAAAGCCAUAACUGAACUGGAAAGUAAAUGAAAAGAAAUGGAUGCUUUGUUUUUCAGGACCCAGACUGGAUACUUCUAUGCAAAUGAUGACAAAUUUAGUUAGUGCAACCUCAGAAG